rnacentral:tRNA from 1 species
GGCUCACAGCAGGAACGUCCCUAACUGGAAUAAAAGCGGUUGUGUCCAAUGAGAUUUGAG